rnacentral:lncRNA from 10 species
AGUAAAGGAAGCUUCAGGAAAAUCACAUAUUGAAAGAGGGUGUUGACUACAAAUGGGAAACCUGACCCCACCCACUGCUGGGUACUUAAGCUGUAGAAAGUCAGAGGCCUGUCCCUAGUUCUGCUGGAGUGGAGCUGAGAGAGGCUCUUGGGAGCUGCCUGCGUGGGCAGAGUUUGAAGGCUUAGGAUAUCUCCUGAAGGCCGGAUGGGCCAGUAGAGAUUAACGAGGCUUGAGCUGUCUUGAAAGAUGGCUGCCCUGAGAACUGGCUAGAAGAGGAGACCAAGGAGGCUGUGUGGGUCACCCUUGCAUUGGAGAUGAGGGGAGUCGUGAGAGAUCAGUGGGGAGCCCAUUGCCCUGUUGGGGAACUGCCUGGUGGAGCUUUCCCAGGGAUAUUUUAAAGAACCUACAUGGGAGAAAGCCUGCAUUUGGACAUCUUCCAGGCCAUUCAAUAGCCAAAGAGAACCACCAACAGCUUGAAUCAAAAAAAAGGCCCUCAAAAUAGGCUGAAUGAAAAGAGGUGUGAUCGAUGAAAACUGGCCGCUCCUUCUUUGCAACUCCUUCCAUUAGGUGGUGGAGUCUACGUUGCCCUCCCUUUGAUCCAGGCUGGCCACACAAAUUACUUUCACCAACAGAAUGCUGUAGAAGUGAUACUGCAUGACCUCUGAGCCCAGGCCUUAAGGGACUUUGCAGCUUCUGUUCUUGGCCUCUGGCUGCUCUGUGACUACCAUGGAAGGAGUUCCACACUAACCUCCUGUAGGGUAAGAGACACGUGGAGGCAGACUGAGCCUCCCAGCCAUCCCACUGAGGCUCCAGGCGUGCCAGUGAUGUACCUGGCUGAAGCCUGGCCCCCAGUCACCCACUGACGGCAGCUGCAAAGGUGCCCGUGAUGAGGUACAAUUUGCUUGAUGUCAUCAAUACAGUGAGCCAGUGUGAUAUUCUGCGGAAUUGAAGAUGACUACAGUCCCUUUGGACUACACUAUGACAAAGAACAAGAGUGUUAGCACAGCCCUGGGUGGGUCACUGACAAGAAAAUUCACCUGGAGGCCAAAUUGUCUCUAAUAACAAGUCCAAGACAUGCAUUCCAGCUGGAAUCCUCUUCCCGGAUGGUUGUGUGUUUUUAAUUGCAGUAGCCAUCUCCAAAAAUGCCAUCCAGUAACCAUGCCCUUGUGUGCUGCCCUUUCCAUGAAUCUGAGCUAGCCCCAUAAUUUGCUUUUGGCCAUUGGAUGGUGGUGGAAGUGAUGCUGUGUGACUUUUGAAGCUGAGUUACAAGCAGCCUUGGACAGUCUUUCUAGACCUCGUGGAGGGCUCACUCUGGGGGAAGCCAACCAGCAUGUAAGGAGCAUAACUGCCCUGAGACCGCCGUGUUGUUAGGAUGCCCAGCUAGCUAUGUGGAGAAGCUGCAUAGACUGAGGGAGAAGCCCAGCUAGUCCCCAGUUAUUCCUGCCACCCUAACUGAGGCACCAGACCCAUGAGCAAAGAAACCAUCAUGGAUGUCCUGUCCCAUCCAGCUUCUGUGACUGUAACUGUAUGAGGACCCCAAUGAAAACCACACAGCUGAGCCUAGUCAACACACAGAGCUAUGGAAGAUAAUAGUAAAUUGUUGCUUUAAGCCACUUGGUGUUUAUUCAUUUGUUUGGAGGGGGUCGGGGGCAGAGAGAUUAUGCAGCAGUCGAAAACCAGAACACUUGCAUAAAUCUCUAUGAAGCUGGACAUCUCUCUAGACCUGAAGAAGCUCCAGAAUGCCCUGAGCCUGGCAUGACUACAGGGCCACUCUAUUCCCCCGCUGGAAUGAUCCAGAGUGCCAGGAAAACAGGCCCUUCACACAAGGCCCUGAGUCUGUUUCCUGGUUCCUCCAUGACUAGCUGCAAAACUUUAGACAAGCCAGUGCUCUCUCAGCCUGAAUUUUCCCAUCUGCAAAGUUAGGCAAUAGAGUCAAUGGAUCAUCAAAGAUUCUUCUGCUUCUCUGCCUCAUGAAAUAUCACUCUGUGCCUAAGAGAUGAACACACCACCUAGAAUUCCCCCUCUAGGCGUGCCCUUUCUCGGUUCACUCACAUGAUAGGCAUAAAGGCACAAGGAGAAAGGAGCUCAUCUGCGCUGUUUCUGGGCUUCAGGAAUCUCCAGUCACCAAGUGAGGCUGUGGGAGGGCCAGACAUGCCAGCCAGUACCCAGGUUCCCAGCUCCAUGCCCCUCCUCAGCCUCCCUUGAGUUUUUCAGUGCUAAAGAGGGAGCACCUGCUCCAAGGCCCAGGUAGUUCUGGAAUCCCAGCUCUACCUGAGAAGAGGAAGUUCCUGCCUGCCAAAGAAGAGGGGCCUCCUGAGAGGAGUAGGCUUCUCGGUGGCUGCAAAGCGUCUGGUGACAAUAUUUGUGUCUAAAAAUACAGCAGCUGAGAACCAGCUAAUUGCAGCCUCUGGAGUCAUUCAUAGCUCAGCGUUUCACACCACACUUGCACCUCUUCCAGUGUUUCUCAGGAGCUGCCACGAAGGAGGCCACUUAUGGGUGGAAACCCAGCCAGGAGGGCCCAGGAUUGGGCCUAAGGUCCAGGGCAUCCUUUCACCCAAGAGCCCAGCCUGGUACCAGUAUGUAGCUGGCACCUAGGAAUAGAGCAAAGAGAGCAAGUUUCUCAAGUCAGCUGAAUCCCCCCCCCUCUACUCAGAUGCCCUUGGCCACUUGCCCAUCAGGAUCCAUUCAGACCUGUUGGGGCCCCUCAAAAGGCAAUGGCCCAGGUAUAACUUCAUGAGUGAGAUGUACUCGAAGAGAUGCACAAGGUCCAGGAAUUACCUUGCUGGAGACGGCCUUCUGUCCUGGACCUGCAGCCGGCAGGGUGCUAACCUUUGAGCUAGGACCUCUGCUGGACUGGGUCAUGGGCUAAGCAGGGGUUGGGACCCCAUAGCUCCCUGCUGUGGAUCCUCCUUUCUUUCAGAGCUUCUCAGAUGGCUCCUGUCUCGUCUACCAGGAUAAAGGGCAUGACUCAAGGUCACAGGAUGUGACGAUCUGAGAACUUCAGCCACAGCCUCUCUGGUGCCCCACACUGCCUGAACACACAGUGGACGAAGGUCAUGGCAAAAGUAGAAGGAACCCUGCGUGGGGAAUGUGUUUGCCUCAGGCUUUAGGAGAAGGAAUUUUUUUUUUCUUAAUCAGGGAGGCAUUUUAAAAGCACAAAGCCAAACUAACAUUUGUGUAGUAUUUUUCACUUGGCAAAAUGCUGUCACACACCUAGUGCUAGGUGGUUCCCAUGUUAAUUAGAUGAGGUGGUUAUUAUUAUGGCGUCCACUUUAUGGGUAAUUAAACUGAGGAUCAGAGGGGCUGAGUCAUUUCCCCAGGGUCACCAAAGUCAUGACCAGCCUUGAACUCAAGUCAGGAGCCCUCCUGCUGGGUCAGCAGGCCCAGCACCGCCUCCUGGCCCAGCUUAGAAGCUUGACUAGUCAGCCCCAUUGGGGUCCCAGAUUACAGAAAUGCCACACUCCGGCCACACAGCCCUGAAUCCAACCUAAAUCCAGCUCCAUCAACUUCCCCCUAUCUGCGAAAUUCAUUUGAAUCCCACUCUGAAUCUGGAUCCAUUAACCUUUGACCUAUGAGAAAUGAGUCAGAGCCUAAGAAAAAGCGGGCACCUAGAGAAAGCAGGGAGCAAAAAACAGAGUUUCUGAGAGCAGGGGCCCUCUGCUUGAUGGUCAGCUCCUCCCCUGGCACCUGGGCCAGGUCAGCCGAUGCUCUGUGUGGCCAAGAGAGGGCCAGACCUGGCCUCUGGCUGUGAGUGGCUGGGACGGCGAGCAAGACCCAGCUACAUAUCUGUCUUCAGCCCCUGCAACUGGGAGAGCAGCAACUCAGAGAUCAGCCGUUUCACCCUUCUUCCUAAUCACCGCGGGCGUGAUGGAACACCUUGACAUUCUUUAACGAAAGUUCAACUCCACUGCCACUCGGGGCGCUGCAUGAGGAAUGAGGUUUAUGUUGAAUCCCAGAAUCACAGAAAUUAGAGAUGAAAAAGGACGCUGAGGUCAGAGGCAGCCCAUCCCCAUGGGGCCAAGUGCACGUUCUUCUCGGUAAUAGACUUUCCCUUUAUUCCUCCAGUCCAGGUGGCUGCCUCCCUGAAGACCAUUCUCCACUGUUUCUUGGAGAAGACACUGUUGAUAGAAAUGAGAAGUCUGUGCUGAUCCCUGCAUGAUUUGCUUUGAAAUUUAUUAAUCAUCCAAAAGCUGGUGAAGAGGGGAAAAAAGAGAAUGUAAACUCAUCUGGUAGCCAGCGUGCCUGAGUGCGAAGAAGGAGGAGAGCCAGAACCCUCUGGGUUUCCAGCUUGCUAUAGCUCUAGGGCAGCAUGGGACAGUGUAGACUGAUCACUGACUUGCUAUGUAACCUGGCAAAAUUUUGACUUCCCUGAGCCUCAGUUUUCUCAUCUGCAAAAUGGGAGCUCAUGAUGCCUAUGCACAGGGCUGUUGGAAGAUUAGAGUUAACAAAGGUUUAGCACCUCAUAUUGUGCCUGACCCAUGUGAAUUACUCCGUAAAUGGUAACGAUUAUUACUAACAUUACUUUAUGACUCUCCCCUCUCCAGAUCCGUGUCCCUGUCUGUAACACAGGGCUAAGCAAGUUCUUCAGCUAUUGGGCUUCAUCCACUCAACAUUCCACUGGCACUUCCAGAGCUGCCACCACACUUCAGACUCCCAAGGCUAACAAUGACCAAGAAAGACAGAUUCUCUGACGUCAUGGAACUUACUGUCUUUAUGAAUUUCCAGGGAGAAGGGUGCUAAGAUGCUAACAUGGAUACUAACCAUCUGAUGCAAUAUUCUGCUGCACAGAUUGUGACCUAUGACUCACUGGGACAUGAUAGAGGUCACAGAAAUGCCAAUGACAUCCCAAAGACAGUGUGGGAGUGUGUUGUCUAGCUUCUUAGCAAACCCCACCCCCACGGUGGCAUGACCCCUGCACCAUCUUCUCCCACCCUGGGAUCUCCUUCCUACCCCUCUGCCCAUGUCAAUCUGGAAGGAGUCCAGGCUUUGAGCCUGGGAUCAGCACAGUUCCUGACUCUGACCCACACACCAUGAGCCAAAGCUCUAGACCUUUCAGAAAUUCUUCACCAUCAGAAAAAUGGAGGUGGCACGCCCUGCCGCAGCUGAUCAACUUCCCAGAUGUGCUGCGAGCCUGCAGUAAGAGAAUGGAUGUGAAAGUGCUUUGUAAACUGAAAAUUCCAAUGAGAAAAAUCCAUUAUCAUUAGGAGAAAGAGAUAGAAGUGGCCUGGCUUUGAAACAUGGUGCUAUCCCCUAGCAAGCAGAGGAGGAGCUUCCAGACAGAAAAUGGUACCUUUCCCCAGAGUCUAUGUUGAGGUGCACCAGCCUUUCCAGUCCUGAGAAAAGACAGAGUCAUGGCUCCAGGGCAGGUGGGCAUGCCUGUGUCCCAGGAGGCACUGUUCUUCCUGGCCAGAGACCCAUGCCCACUUCAGAGGAGCCAUGAAGGAGAAACACCAGGCCACAGUGGAGGACUGUGAUCAAGGAAAAAUUGAAGAACUGCUGCAGGAAAUUGGAGCUGCCAAUCUCCUAACAAUUGGAAUUUUUUUAUACUGUGCAUUUCACAAAUGUAUGUCCUCAAGGACAGAGAAGAUCCUGCCCUAAGGAGCAAGUGUGCGGAGGCCACCUGGCCUUCACUGGUUCCUGCACUGAAUGUUUCCUUCUCACCUGCUGAGUACCAGGUGUUACCCCAGGUAGCCUCAGUGUGAUGGAUUAUCUGCAGAGAUCAUCACCAGUAAUCCUCCAGCCCUGUACAUAUCCACUCUUUUCCAUCAGGAGAGAUGGCAGAAGGACUGAGGACCUGGGGAGGAGAGAGGAGGAAACUGGAGGACUGUGAACGUGGCCACGUCUUUUCCAAUGGAGAGAAAACUCAAUCGGAUCUGGGCACUCCCUACAUUUCUCCACCUCCUGCCGCCCCCAACUCAGACACUCCCCAUCAAGACUUGGUGGAGUCUCUUAUGCCUCCCCUUGAACCUGGAAGGACUGUGUUACUCCCCUGGCCAAUAGAACAUGGUGGAAGUCAUGCUGUGUGAUUUCUGAGGUUAGAUCAUAAAAGGUAAUACGGCUUCCAUUUAGUGUGUGUGCACACUAUCUCUCUCUCUCUCAAGAUUCUUGCCCUUGGAACUUGGGCACCAUGCCGUGAGGAGCCCACAGCCAUAUGGAAAACCUACAUGUUGUUUGGACCAACAGGUCCAGCUAAGAUCUCAGCAGCCAGCCAGCACCAAUCACCAGACAUGUAAGUGAGCAAGUCCUGAGAUGAUUCCAGCCUUCAAAGCUUCCAGAUGAGGUGCCGGACAUCGUGGAGCUGAGCCCUAUCCCAUUCCUGACCCACGGAAUCUGUGGGCAUAAUAAAUCGCUAUUUUA